rnacentral:rRNA from 1 species
UGGGGAAUAUUGGACAAUGGGGGAAACCCUGAUCCAGCGACGCCGCGUGAGUGAAGAAGUAUUUCGGUAUGUAAAGCUCUAUCAGCAGGGAAGAAAAUGACGGUACCUGACUAAGAAGCCCCGGCUAACUACGUGCCAGCAGCCGCGGUAAUACGUAGGGGGCAAGCGUUAUCCGGAUUUACUGGGUGUAAAGGGAGCGCAGACGGCCAAGCAAGUCUGAAGUGAAAUGCAUGGGCUCAACCCAUGAAUUGCUUUGGAAACUGUAUAGCUUGAGUGUCGGAGGGGUAAGCGGAAUUCCUAGUGUAGCGGUGAAAUGCUUAGAUAUUAGGAAGAACACCGGUGGCGAAGGCGGCCUGCUGGACCAAAACUGACGCUGAGGCUCGAAAGCGUGGGUAGCAAACAGGAUUAGAUACCCUGGUAGUCCACGCUGUAAACGAUGAAUACUAGGUGCUGGGAGGCAUAAGCCUUUCGGUGCCGUCGCAAACGCAUUAAGUAUUCCACCUGGGGAGUACGUUCGCAAGAAUG